CCAGUGUGGUGUAGUGGUUUGGGCGUUGGACUAUGAUUCUGGAAUCCAGGGUUGAAAUCCCAGCUCAUUGGG
rnacentral:tRNA from 1 species